CCCGGGUCUUGUACACACCGCCCGUCACACCAUGGGAGCGGGUUUUACCAGAAGUAGGUAGCUUAACCGCAAGGAGGGCGCUUACCACAGUAGGAUUCGUGACUGGGGUG
rnacentral:rRNA from 1 species